UACCUAUCUUCUUCUCUACCGUUUAUGUCUUUCUCAUCUUCACUACUAUGGGGUUUCACCAUCUCACCUUCAUAUGCAUUCAUUGCUAUUCCAAUAACUUCACUCCUCUAUUAUGUGCUUUUACUUAGGGUUCGUCGAUUCCAAUCUUCAUUGUAACGGCGAGGAUUCCAAAUGGUAAGGAUUGUUCUUCAAUUCCCUCUUAUUUAACUCUUAGCCCACUACUACACCUUCUUAUUGCCGUAAUUCAGUCAUUUGCAUAUAAUACAUCAUCUCACUAAUUCAAUUUCUCACUUCCCAAUCUGCCAAAAAAAUCCAUUGCGGCGAUCAUGGAUCCCCUUUCGUAUUUUUUGCGGAGCUUAAACCUAGCCACCUUGAGCAACGAUUACUAGGUAGAUUGCUCAGUUUCAAGCUGCACGUAACGUUAAAAAUCUGGCUGACUUCUGCCUUCGAGACUUCCAUCACGCUGUUAACAGCUUGCGUUUGUACCUGCGAUCGAUGAAUCGGGAACCAUGUCUUGCAGAGUAUUCUGUGUGAUCGAGCUUUGUACUCAUGGGGAGGUAGAGACAUUAUGAGGAAAAUUGUUGUACUGAGUGAGUUCUUGCUUCCUUGAAGAUAUGGAUUCUGAAGCUACAAGCACUCUUAUGGCUGCAGCAGAUAAAUGUGUGUCGGUUGACUUUCUUUUGUUUGAGAACCAGUCAAUCCAUCUAAGCCAGGAGAAGACCUCAGAUGCUUAUCGGAUCUUAACAAUUGUUCAAUUCAAAAAAGCGUUCCUGGUAGUAUCCAUAUUACUAGCUGCUUUUUAUAUUCUUUUUCAUACAAAGUAACUAAAUCUCUCAGAUUUUGAUGACUGGUU